AGAUUUACUUGUACAAGCUUAAUAAUAUUCAUUGCCUCCAAGUAUCCCUCUCUACGCCACCAAACUGCUCGGCCCAGCCCCUAAUUUAGUUGUAGGGGUAUGACCACUUCCGGAUGUUCUGCACAUAAUACCUGCCGUUCGUAAGCCUAACUUCUUCCCAGCCAUUCUUUUUUGUUCUAAGGUCUGGAAUCUUUUAGGUGCUCACUAUCUUUAAGCUAUCACCAUUUUUUGUCGCAAGUUGACAAAUGGAACAGUAUUUCUUACCUUUAAGAUUUCGCCUUUGCUUUAUAUAUAUACAUAUCCUUUUUGCAAAGCAAACGCUGUCGACGCCUCAUACCCCCCAUUCUCAGUUCAGCUUUGGAAAUGGCAGUAAAGGAAUUCGGUCGCUGUUGUGCGUUUGUGUAGACCUUUGGAAAUGCCCAGAAAGUAGCCCUCGGCCCCUCACAACUUUGAAAAAUGGCUGAAACAUAACCGGGUCAAUGCAUUGUUUUCCUACACAAAAGUCCACAAUUUAAGGUGAUCUUUUCUGAUGCAUACUAUCAAACACU
rnacentral:lncRNA from 1 species